rnacentral:rRNA from 1 species
UGCCUUACACAUGCAAGUCGAACGGCAGCACGGGUGCUUGCACCUGGUGGCGAGUGGCGAACGGGUGAGUAAUAUAUCGGAACGUACCUUAUCGUGGGGGAUAACGCAGCGAAAGCUGUGCUAAUACCGCAUAAGCCCUAAGGGGGAAAGCGGGGGAUCGCAAGACCUCGCGCGAUUGGAGCGGCCGAUAUCAGAUUAGCUAGUUGGUGAGGUAAAGGCUCACCAAGGCGACGAUCUGUAGCUGGUCUGAGAGGACGACCAGCCACACUGGAACUGAGACACGGUCCAGACUCCUACGGGAGGCAGCAGUGGGGAAUUUUGGACAAUGGGGGCAACCCUGAUCCAGCCAUGCCGCGUGAGUGAAGAAGGCCUUCGGGUUGUAAAGCUC